AUGAUGACAAGCAAUUUCCCAGGUUCCUGGUUGGACUGUUACAAACCUUUACCUGGUGUCAACAUCAAGCUGACCAAUUACAUUGCAUGCAAGAUAUCAUUAUAUUACAGUAUAUGGCAGGGGUCUCAUCCCAGUGACAGAAUACUUCAUCAUAUAAGACAGAGGCCAAUAAGCAUCAGGCACCUGGAAAAUUUUGGAAUUAGUAUAGAGAGCUGA
rnacentral:lncRNA from 1 species